rnacentral:rRNA from 1 species
UCCUACGGGAGGCAGCAGUGGGGAAUAUUGCACAAUGGGCGAAAGCCUGAUGCAGCGAUGCCGCGUGAGGGAUGAAGGCUUUCAGGGUUGUAAACCUCUUUCAGCGGGGAAGAAGCGCAAGUGACGGUACCUGCAGAAGAAGCGCCGGCUAACUACGUGCCAGCAGCCGCGGUAAUACGUAGGGCGCAGGCGUUGUCCGGAAUUAUUGGGCGUAAAGAGCUCGUAGGCGGUUUGUCGCGUCUGGUGUGAGAACUCGAGGCUCAACCUCGAGCUUGCAUCGGGUACGGGCAGACUAGAGUGCGGUAGGGGAGACUGGAAUUCCUGGUGUAGCGGUGGAAUGCGCAGA